rnacentral:lncRNA from 1 species
AUUUAUUGUUUAUUAUAUACUUAUGUUUAUUCACUUUUUCGCGAGCGGCAACUGAAUUCAAUUGUCUAAAUAUGUCGUUUACAAAAUUUUAGCUGUUUCACUUUUUGUGAAAUUUCCCUUUCUUAGGUUGGCAACGCCUAUCAUACUUCGACUGAACUUAGUUGAAGUUCGCAAUACCGAAAAAGAGUUUGGUUGAUCUGAAGUUGAGUUGCCUUAACUUCAAUUCGACCAAGUCGGGUUGAAAACCGCAAUAAACUUCGGUGUUAAGGAUUUUUUUUCGUUUUCUUUCUGUUUUUAGUUAGAAACUUAGUAACUACACCAUGUUUUAUUAUUAAGUCAUAACGGUGCUAAAUAGUGUUCGCAACAUCUUCAAAAGACGAUAAGCGCUGUUGUACUAUAUUAAGCAAGGUGAAAAAAUUAAAAAGUGGCUGUUUAAACCUCCUCAUAAAGGUAUCCUUUCCUUGCUUCUAUGGGUAGUGGCACUCGUCGUUGAGUUAGAGUGAAAGCAGUAGCUUAUGUGGAUUAUAGGGCUGAGUCCUUAUAAAAUCAGUGAGAAUAUGGAAAGAAGCUUGCGCUGCCACGAGGAGCAAAGAAAAAUUAAAUUAAAUUGGUGUAACCCUAGUGGUAUUACAAAAGCAAAGUAUUUGGGUAUAUAACUCAACUAGUAUAUACCAAGCGGAAGUACAGGUACAUAGAAGUCUGUGAAGUUCUGUUGUACAACCUCGAGAGGAUACAAAAUACAACGAUUUAUACAGACAGCCAGGCGGCACUACCAGCCUUGUCGUCGCCAAAGAUUUACUUGAAAAUGAGUAUACAAAUUAUAAUUUUCCAGCAACCCAUAUUUGGAAUGUAGAUGAGACGGGGCAGUCAGUGGUACAAUCUCGACAGCCUGAAAUAAUUGCACAAAAAGGAAAGCGACAAAUAGGCGCCAUAGUAGAGUAAGUGUGGGUAAUAUGGCACUCUUUAGUCUAUGAUAACCCUAAUUAUGUCAGCGGUGAAAUUUGAAAGAAAAGAAAAAAAUAACGGCAUCAUCAACGGCACAGUUUUUUCUCAGUUGCUAAGAACGCGUAAUUUUACAUGUCGGAUAUUUUAGCAUAGUGUAAUAGAAGCUCUUUAGCACGGCGCAGUGAAUAAAUGGUGAAGGAAAUUUUUAUUUAAAUUUAUAGAUAAUCCACCAAACUUCAUUACGAUAGUAAUAAAAAUAUUAGUAAAAAAUGUGAUAGUAAAGAAAACGGGUAAUUUCAGGUGACACUUAAAAACAUUAUUCGUAAUAACUUCAAUGUGUUGGCUAAAUAUGCAGGCAGAGAUUGGUUGAAUGGACUUUGCAACGCCAUAGUAAAACUUUUAAGCUUACGUACACCAACUGGCACUACUUUCGACAGGGCAAAAGGAUUCACACGCCUAAACGUCGUUUCUUUUUUUAAUUUACUUGAACAUGAGUAUACAAAAUAUAAUUUUCCAGCAACCCAUAUUUGGAAUGUAGAUGAGACGGGGCAGUCAGUGGUACAAUCUCGACAGCCUGAAAUAAUUGCACAAAAAGGAAAGCGACAAAUAGGCGCCAUGACUUCCGCAGAACGUGGAUCCCUUA